UACGUAGGGAGCAAGCGUUGUCCGGAAUCAUUGGGCGUAAAGGGCGCGUAGGCGGCCUUCUAAGUCGAACGUGAAAUCCCCGGGCUCAACCCGGGAACUGCGUCCGAUACUGGAAGGCUUGAAUCCGGGAGAGGGAUGCGGAAUUCCAGGUGUAGCGGUGAAAUGCGUAGAUAUCUGGAGGAACACCGGUGGCGAAGGCGGCAUCCUGGACCGGUAUUGACGCUGAGGCGCGAAAGCCAGGGGAGCAAACGGG
rnacentral:rRNA from 1 species